rnacentral:rRNA from 1 species
AGUGGCGAACGGGUGAGUAACACGUGGGCAAUCUGCCCUUCACUCUGGGACAAGCCCUGGAAACGGGGUCUAAUACCGGAUAACACUCUGUCCCGCAUGGGACGGGGUUAAAAGCUCCGGCGGUGAAGGAUGAGCCCGCGGCCUAUCAGCUUGUUGGUGGGGUGAUGGCCUACCAAGGCGACGACGGGUAGCCGGCCUGAGAGGGCGACCGGCCACACUGGGACUGAGACACGGCCCAGACUCCUACGGGAGGCAGCAGUGGGGAAUAUUGCACAAUGGGCGAAAGCCUGAUGCAGCGACGCCGCGUGAGGGAUGACGGCCUUCGGGUUGUAAACCUCUUUCAGCAGGGAAGAAGCGAGAGUGACGGUACCUGCAGAAGAAGCGCCGGCUAACUACGUGCCAGCAGCCGCGGUAAUACGUAGGGCGCAAGCGUUGUCCGGAAUUAUUGGGCGUAAAGAGCUCGUAGGCGGCUUGUUGCGUCGGUUGUGAAAGCCCGGGGCUUAACCCCGGGUCUGCAGUCGAUACGGGCAGGCUAGAGUGUGGUAGGGGAGAUCGGAAUUCCUGGUGUAGCGGUGAAAUGCGCAGAUAUCAGGAGGAACACCGGUGGCGAAGGCGGAUCUCUGGGCCAUUACUGACGCUGAGGAGCGAAAGCGUGGGGAGCGAACAGGAUUAGAUACCCUGGUAGUCCACGCCGUAAACGUUGGGAACUAGGUGUUGGCGACAUUCCACGUCGUCGGUGCCGCAGCUAACGCAUUAAGUUCCCCGCCU